rnacentral:misc_RNA from 1 species
ACGCAUGACUAUGACGUCAAGAUGCGCAAUGUCAUGAGAUUCCUCGAAUCGGGUGACAAGGUCAAGAUCACGCUGCGCUUCCGUGGCCGCGAGAUGGCGCACCAGAAUCUGGGGCUGGAACUGCUGAACCGCGUCAGGGACGAUGUCGACGAGAUCGGAAAGAUCGACUCCAUGCCCAAGAUGGAAGGUCGACAGAUGGUCAUGAUGAUCUCGCCGCGCUGAUCGGGGCACGAGUGAUCGCGAAAUUCGGGCCGCGCAGGCAUCGCCGCGCGGCCUUUGCUUUGAGGGGGACAAGAUGACCGA